AACGUAGGAGGCAAGCGUUGUCCGGAAUUACUGGGCGUAAAGCGCGUGUAGGUGGUGGGACAAGUCUGCUGUGAAAGCGCCUGGCUUAACCGGGCGAGGUCGGCGGAAACUGUCCGACUCGAGGACGGUAGAGGGGGGUGGAAUUCCCGGUGUAGUGGUGAAAUGCGUAGAGAUCGGGAGGAACACCUGUGGCGAAGGCGGCCCCCUGGGCCGGCCCUGACACUGAGACGCGAAGGCGUGGGGAGCGAACGGG
rnacentral:rRNA from 1 species